GGGCGGCGGGGGUCUGGGGACCCUCCGCGCAGGUAGGCAAGCGUAUUAACAGGGGUGACGCGCAGUGGUGGCCCCGCGGGCCUGAUGGCUCGGCCCGUCCAAGCGCGCGGCCCGCCGCCCAGGCAAAUCCGGGCGGCUGCCUUAGAUGGCGGGGGUGAGGCGCGACGGUGACCCGGCCCUCCGGCCGGGGAAGCAGGGUGAUCCUGAGGCGCCUAGAAAAGCCUCGACGCGAGGGGCCGGUCCGCCCGUACCCCAAACCGACACAGGUGGUCGGGCAGAGCAUGCCCAGGCGCACGGGCGAACCGCGGUGAAGGAACUCGGCAAAACGCCCCCGUAACUUCGGGAGAAGGGGGGCCCGAACCCUGAGGCCCCGAGCGGGCUGGGGGUGAGGGUCGCAGAGGCCAGGGGGGAGCGACUGUUUACUAAAAACACAGGUCCGUGCGAAGCCGCAAGGCGAUGUAUACGGACUGACGCCUGCCCGGUGCUGGAAGGUCAAGAGGACCCGUCAGCCCCCUUCGGGGGGUGAAGCGGUGAAUUCAAGCCCCAGUGAACGGCGGUGGUAACUAUAACCAUCCUAAGGUAGCGAAAUUCCUUGUCGGGUAAGUUCCGACCUGCACGAAUGGCGUAACGACUUCCCCACUGUCUCCACCACGGGCUCGGCGAAAUUGCAUUACGAGUAAAGAUGCUCGUUACGCGCAGAAGGACGGAAAGACCCCGGGACCUUCACUGCAGCUUGGUAUUGGCGCCCGGUUCGGCUCGUGCAGGAUAGGUGGGAGACCGUGAUGUCGUCGCGUCAGCGGCGGCGGAGUCGUCGUUGAGAUACCACUCCGGCCGUGUCGUGCGCCUGAACCUCGGCCCGUGAUCCGGGUCAGGGACAGUGCCUGGCGGGUAGUUCAACUGGGGCGGUUGCCUCCCAAAGAGUAACGGAGGCGCUCAAAGGUCCCCUCAGCCUGGUCGGCAACCAGGUGUCGAGUGCAAGUGCACAAGGGGGCUCGACUGCGAGACCGACGGGUCGGGCAGGUGCGAAAGCAGGAACUAGUGAUCCGGCGAUCCCGCGUGGGCGGGUCGUCGCUCAACGGAUAAAAGGUACCCCGGGGAUAACAGGCUGAUCCUGCCCAAGAGUCCAUAUCGACGGCAUGGUUUGGCACCUCGAUGUCGGCUCGUCGCAUCCUGGGGCUGGAGCAGGUCCCAAGGGUUGGGCUGUUCGCCCAUUAAAGCGGUACGCGAGCUGGGUUUAGAACGUCGUGAGACAGUUCGGUCCCUAUCCUCUGCGCGCGCAGGAGACUUGAGAAGGCCUGUCCCUAGUACGAGAGGACCGGGACGGACGAACCUCU
rnacentral:rRNA from 1 species